rfam:Trichoderma harzianum strain T6776 Scaffolds0779.1, whole genome shotgun sequence.
UUAGCUCUCUUUGCCUUUUGGCUUAGAUCAAGUGUAGUAUCUGUUCUUUUCAGUUUAAUC